rnacentral:rRNA from 1 species
UACGUAGGGUGCGAGCGUUACUCGGAAUUACUGGGCGUAAAGCGUGCGCAGGCGGUUCGUUGUGUCGGCGGUGAAAGCCCCGGGCUUAACCUGGGAAUGGCCGUUGAAACUGGCGAACUGGAGUGUGGCAGAGGGGGGUGGAUUUCCGCGUGUAGCAGUGAAAUGCGUAGAGAUGCGGAGGAACACCGAUGGCGAAGGCAGCCCCCUGGGCUGACACUGACGCUCAGGCACGAAAGCGUGGGGAGCAAACAGG